UUAGUUUACUAUUGGAGCGGUUAGUGGCGGACUGGUGAGUAACACGUAAGCAACCUGCCUAUCAGAGGGGAACAACAGUUAGAAAUGACUGCUAAUACCGCAUAUGCCUUAGAAUCACAUGGUUCAAAAGGGAAAGGAGCAAUCCGCUGAUAGAUGGGCUUGCGUCUGAUUAGCUAGUUGGUGGGGUAAUGGCCUACCAAGGCAACGAUCAGUAGCCAACCUGAGAGGGUGAUCGGCCACAUUGGAACUGAGACACGGCCCAAACUCC
rnacentral:rRNA from 1 species